rnacentral:rRNA from 1 species
GACGAACGCUGGCGGCGUGCCUAAUACAUGCAAGUUGAGCGCUGAAGGUUGGUACUUGUACCAACUGGAUGAGCAGCGAACGGGUGAGUAACGCGUGGGGAAUCUGCCUUUGAGCGGGGGACAACAUUUGGAAACGAAUGCUAAUACCGCAUAAAAACUUUAAACACAAGUUUUAAGUUUGAAAGAUGCAAUUGCAUCACUCAAAGAUGAUCCCGCGUUGUAUUAGCUAGUUGGUGAGGUAAAGGCUCACCAAGGCGAUGAUACAUAGCCGACCUGAGAGGGUGAUCGGCCACAUUGGGACUGAGACACGGCCCAAACUCCUACGGGAGGCAGCAGUAGGGAAUCUUCGGCAAUGGACGAAAGUCUGACCGAGCAACGCCGCGUGAGUGAAGAAUGUUUUCGGAUCGUAAAACUCUGUUGGUAGAGAAGAACGUUGGUGAGAGUGGAAAGCUCAUCAAGUGACGGUAACUACCCAGAAAGGGACGGCUAACUACGUG